rnacentral:rRNA from 1 species
UACAGAGGAGCCAAGCGUUGUCCGGAUUCACUGGGCGUAAAGCGCACGCAGGCGGACGCGCGCGUGGGGUGUGAAAUCUGGCCGCUUAACGGCCAGGCGCCAUCCCAUACGGCGCGUCUGGAGUGAUGCAGAGGUCGGUGGAAUUGCCGGUGUAGUGGUGAAAUGCGUAGAGAUCGGCAGGAACACCCAGGGGGAAAGCAGCCGACUGGGCAUCUACUGACGCUGAGGUGCGAGAGCGUGGGGAGCGAACCGG